rnacentral:lncRNA from 1 species
CAACUCCCUUCUCUAUUGUGUUUUCCACAUUUACAUACCACUUUGGGGCAGAAAUUGGCCCAGUGGCCAAAUCUGGCCCACUUUCUUUUUGUAUGGUCUAAAGCUAAGAAUGUUUUUGUAUUUUAAAUAGUCAAAAAAAGAUCAAAAGAAGAAAAAUGUUUCAUGAAGUGUAAAAAUUACCUAAAAUUUAAAUUUUGGCAUCUACAAAUAAAGUUUUAUUGGAACGUAGCCACACUCAUUUGUGAAGCAGGUUCACUGUGCACUGGUUACCAACUUGUCUGAGUCUGGUAAGGCAGAAGAUCCUUAAACAUAACAAAUUACAUGAAACAAAUUUAUUAUUUACAGAUAAACAGCAAGGGAUAACAGAAGUGUAGGAUUGAUUGUGAGCUUCUCCCCCCAAACUCAGAAAAACUGCCAGGUAAAUGAGGUCUCAUCUGCAUGUGCCCCACUUGCAUUGCUACUGAGGGACCCUGAAAAGCAGACAACCCUGGGUGUUACACCCUCCCCAGGGUAUGAAAGGACACACUAGGCAAAUGUGUUGAAGAACAUCCCGUUUCCAGGUGGAAACUGGAACUGAGCCAGCCUGUUCCAGCCAGUCUCUCCUUGUCUCAGGAUGUUGCAUUCUCAGCAUAUUUUACAGUUAUUCCAGGGAACAACAGUGAGAAGGGGAGAGAGCUGGGUUGGUUCAAGGCCACCUGGAGAACUGUCCUGCACCAUGUGUCGUAUAUUGUUUAUGGCUGCUUUGACACUACAACAGCAGUGUUGAGUAGUUGCAGUAGGGACUGUUUAACCCACAAAGCCUACAUUGCUUACAUCUGGACCUUUGCAGGAAAAGUUUGCUGACCUGUACUUUAAUAUAUAAAAACCCAUUCACAUUUGCACAUUCAUUUGGUGGUCACCACAGGCCUAUGGUAACAUCUCCGUUUUCAGAAGCUCAGAAAAGUAAGCUGCUUGCUCAAGAAUGGACGGCUUCAAGGUGGCAGAGCUGGAAGUUUCUAACUCACUCACCUCAUACUCAGACCUGCACUGUUUUUCAAGACAGUCAAUAUUUCAGGCCAUCUACUGAUUGGAUGAGGCCCACCAGCAUUCUGAAAGACAAGGAAUCUGAGACCUGGCUGGGAGAAGAGGACUUGCCUAAAGUUAUCCCACACAGCAAAUUAGUUGGAAAACCAGGAUAGUUGAGUAAAUAUCCUGGAGCCCAGCCAAGUAAUGAAGCCAGAAUUCAGAAAGCUGUUUUGGCUAGAUCUUGGAUUUUUACAAUAAAGGGUCUGUAAGGGAUAUUUGUGAAAAAUGUUGACACUUGACGGCUGUCCUGAUUCAUUCAGCUACCUAGGUUAUCUCUGCCUCUCUUUGACUUGUGUUUUGUCUUUUAAGAUGGCAGUCUUGCUCUUUUGCCUGGGCUGGUCUUGAACUCCUGGGCUCAAGCAGUUUUCCUGCUUUAGCCUCCUGAGUAGCUGGGGCUACAGGAGGACAUCACUGUGCCCAGCUCUCUCCGUAUCUUUGACUAGGUUAUUUUACAACCCCAUACGAUAGAAAUGAAGUUAUAGAAAACUGAUAGGAAUACAAAUAAUUAUUAUCCAUGGAAAUGCAAAUUGGAUCUAAUGGAAUGAAACUGAUUUUUUUUCCAGCAGAUAGUGACCACCUUUGUAUCCUUUUGUAAAUUCAUUUCAGCAUUCCAUAUUUGACUAAAAAUGUGUGACACUCCCAAUUUGCUUUUGAAUUCAUUGUAAUAUCUACCAAUUCCCUCAUUAAUUAAUGAGUUAAAUAAAGCCUUUGGCAUGUAUUUAUUUUGUAUCUAUAGGAGAGUCAUGAGUAUAUCUUCUUUUAAAAGGUAUUCUUCAGUAGGUCUUAGGGUGCACAAUACUUACAUCUUAUUUUCUCAUUCUACACUGUUCCCACACCUCACCCAGAAUAAAUGUAAUCUCCUGUGAGCUUCUGAACAUCAUGAAGAAUAACAGCUCAUUUUGUAAAGUCAUUUAGUAUUCG